AAUAAGGUGUCAUUUGCUAGUUGGUCCGGGUUGGGUCCGCCGAGGGCUGACCUGGCUUUCGGCCGAACAAGGUUAAGGGUGUGUUCAUUCUUUUUAAUAUUGUUUGAACCGAUUCUUUUCCUUUUAGUUCAUUACUAGCAAAAGGGCCCAUGUGUUGUAACGAAAGAAAAAUAAUUAAAAUCUUUAAUGGUGCUAAUCAUAUUAUGUUUUUAAAUUUUUAAGACAUUUCUUGAAAUGCAUGAACAUUUUUGAAUUAGCA
rnacentral:lncRNA from 1 species